GACUGCCCUGCCCUGACCCUUGCCUGGCUCUCCAGAGCCAAGGCGUUCACAGCUUGAGUUGGUUUGGCCUAAGACUCUUGAGAACAUUACAGAUUAAAUUUCAAGUGUUUCGUUUCCUAGCAAAGAGUCUUUAGCAACAUAAAAACGAGCAUGUGUUAUUUGCAAACCAUCUGAACCAUUACUCAACCUGAAUGUUCCUAAGUUUUUGCAAGAUUGCAUAGGAAUCCCUAAUGGCAGAGAACAGAUAGUGCCUCCCCUGCUCCGCUGAUGUGUGAAAGAACGCCUGCAAACCCCUGGAGUGGGCAGCGAACAAUCUGUCCGUGUCAGCCAGCUGUCCUGAGGAGUC
rnacentral:lncRNA from 7 species